rnacentral:rRNA from 1 species
GACGAACGCUGGCGGCGUGGAUUAGGCAUGCAAGUCGAACGGUAUCAUCCUUUCGGGGAUGAGAGAGUGGCGAACGGGUGAGUAACACGUAGGUGAUCUACCCUCAAGACGGGGACAACCCAGGGAAACUUGGGCUAAUACCGGAUGUGAGCUAUCGCGAGAUAGUUUGAAAGGUGGCUUCGGCUGCCGCUUGGGGAUGAGCCUGCGUCCUAUUAGCUAGUUGGUGAGGUAACGGCUCACCGAGGCAGUGAUAGGUAGGCGGCCUUAACGGGUGGUCGCCCACACUGGGAUUGAGAUACGGCCCAGACUCCUACGGGAGGCAGCAGUCGAGAAUAGUCUACAAUGGUCGAAAGACUGAUAGUGCGACGCCGCGUGAACGAAGAAGCCCUUCGGGUGUAAAGUUCUUUUAUAUGUGAGCAGUGACAUCUAUAUUAAUAGUAUGGGUGUAGAGAUAUUAGCAUAUGAAUAAGCAACGGCUAACUCCGUGCC